GUCUGUGUGUGCUGGAAACUGGUGCAGCGGUGGGAGCAGUACGAGAGAAGGGUGUUACAUUUACCUCCUCACCACCUCAAGGUCAUCCACCACCUGGGCCUGUCAGAAACCAACAACGUGGACCUGUGUUCACCAGGAGGGCUCAUGUCACCUCACAGAUAACACGGAGCGAGCGAAACACGGCACUUGGAUAAAGAGAGAGAGAGAAAAGCUGAAAUCAUGCAGCGACGUUAGUCCCAGAGCCGUUAGAGAGGUAAUGACGAGUGGAAAGGUCACAAGGCAAUGAGUGAUAUGGGAAGUGAGGCAAAUCGACCAACAUGGCACUCUACCUUCGCCACACUGUGCGGUUUGCGAUUUGCACGGCGACGGCACGUAGCCUGGGUGAGAUGGUGGAGCUGUAGAAGAGUGCAGAUGAGUCACCGACAACAGCACCACCACACAACGGUCUGAUGGAGAAGAAGGUUUCCUAUUGAAUAGUGAAGAUGGUUCCCUUUGGUCGUCCGUCCACCAGAGGGCAGACUGGUACAGUGCAGAAAGAUACAGCGCACAGGCAGUGUGCAGCGACAUCCCCCUGCCGAGGCCCAGGAGCGGACAGAGGCUCCAGCGCCGUCCAGCCCCCCACCCCACCCCCAUGCCGGGCGGCC
ensembl:lncRNA